CGGACGGGUGAGUAAUGCCUGGGAAAUUGCCCUGAUGUGGGGGAUAACCAUUGGAAACGAUGGCUAAUACCGCAUAACGUCUACGGACCAAAGAGGGGGACCUUCGGGCCUCUCGCUUCAGGAUAUGCCCAGGUGGGAUUAGCUAGUUGGUGAGGUAAUGGCUCACCAAGGCGACGAUCCCUAGCUGGUCUGAGAGGACGAUCAGCCACACUGGGACUGAGACACGGCCCAG
rnacentral:rRNA from 1 species